UCCGGUUCCUCACCGGCAGUCCCCUUAGAGUCCCCAACUAAAUGCUGGCAACUAAGGGCAAGGGUUGCGCUCGUUACGGGACUUAACCCAACAUCUCACAACACGAGCUGACGACAGCCAUGCAGCACCUGUCUCUGCGUUCCUUUCGGCACUCCGAACGCUAAUCCAGAUUCGCAGGAUGUCAAGGGUAGGUAAGGUUCUUCGCGUUGCAUCGAAUUAAACCACAUGCUCCACCGCUUGUGCGGGCCCCCGUCAAUUCCUUUGAGUUUCAACCUUGCGGCCGUACUUCCCAGGCGGAAGACUUAUCGCGUUAGCUUCGAUACUGCAAGGUUCCCCUCGCAACAUCUAGUCCUCAUCGUUUACAGCGUGGACUAC
rnacentral:misc_RNA from 1 species